GUUUAGGGGAGGAGGAGACCGGCCGGCUUCUUGGAACAAACCAACUGUGCCUGGACCGGGGGGGGGGGCAGGAUCGAACGGACGGAGGAGAAGAAGAAGGCAGCAGCUACGGCUCCCCCCCCCGGCCCGAGGACGGCGGCGGGGUGAAGCCCGGGACAGCGCCUCCCUGAGGAGGGCUGAGUGAAGGUGCAGGAGAACGCUCCUGUGAGAUUGGGAAGUACGGCCCCUAUUGAACAGAUGGAGAAACGGAGGCACAGGGAGGCGAAGUGACGUUCCCAAGAUGUCAGAGUUGACCCUGUUGGUCGUCCAUGGGAGCACUGUGAGACCUGAGCAAGAAGGUGGUUGCGAAGGAGUCUGAAAGCGCCCAGAUUAAAUUUUCUCAUUGGUGAUCACAGCUAUCUGACUGGUUGGAAGCUGGAUUCAGGUUGCAGAAACCUGAUUUUCAGGCAUGGCAGAGUAUCAGCAGCGCAGAGGUGAUGAGAGAGACUGAUGCUUAUCAAAGUCUAUUCCAGCUUGUUUUCAACUAUGGCUGUUGAUUCUGCAUAUUCAUUGGAUGGUAAUACAGGAUGUCAAGAGCAGCAGUAAGAGGUCGACUUGAUCCCAUUGUGUUUUUGUUGCCAUGACAACACCACACUACUAGCAACAGCCAGUUAACCAGCGAUCAAGGGAGGAGUUCGAUGAUUGAUUCUAAUUGGACCAAAAGUUGCAUUUGCAACAAAAAGGCUGGAGGAGGCAGCCAUCCUCACGACAAGAAGAUGAAAUUUCCAUUCUAUUGGCCCCUUAUUAAGCAGGCACAAUAACAUUUUCUUUCAGAGACUUGCUAAUAAAAACUGUUUUGGUUAUGGCUACUGAUCCAACGUGAUUGGGCGCGCACCGACUCUCAGACUCAUGACUGGUUAUACCAUGUUGCGGAAUGGGGGAGUGGGGAACGGCGGCCAACCCUGGGUGUUACGAUGGUCCAGUCGGAUCCGGCUUACCUGGCUUAGCUUUACCCUGUUCAUCAUCCUCGUCUUCUUCCCCCUCAUCGCCCACUACUACUUGACCACCAUUGAUGAUGCGGAUGAUGCCGGCAAGCGCAUCUUCGGCCCCCGGACCGGAAAUGAGCUGUGUGAGGUGAAGCAUGUCCAGGACCUGUGCCGCAUCCGUGAGUCAGUCAGCGAGGAGCUGCUCCAGCUGGAGGCCAAGCGACAGGAGCUCAACAGCGAGAUCGCCAAGUUGAACCUGAAAAUCGAAGCCUGCAAGAAGAGCAUAGAAAACGCCAAGCAGGAUCUCCUGCAGCUGAAGAAUGUCAUCAGCCAGACUGAGCAUUCCUACAAAGAACUGAUGGCUCAGAACCAGCCAAAGCUCUCCUUGCCAAUCCGGCUGCUGCCAGACAAAGAUGAAGCUAACUUGCCUUUGCCAAAAUCCAACAGGAACUGCAGGCUGCACAACUGCUUUGACUACUCACGCUGCCCACUGACGUCUGGCUUCCCAGUGUAUGUCUACAACAGUGAUCAGUACCCUUUUGGUAGCUCUUUAGACCCUUUAAUUAAGCAAGCCUUUGAGGCAACUGUCAGAACUAAUGUUUAUGUUACUGAAAAUGCAAACAUUGCUUGUGUGUAUAUAAUUUUAGUGGGGGAAAUGCAAGAGCCCAUAAUGCCAAAACCUACUGAACUAGAGCAACAGUUGCACUCUUUGCCAUAUUGGAGGACUGAUGGGCACAACCAUCUCAUCAUUAAUUUAUCGAGGAAAUCGGAAACUCAGAACUUUAUCUAUAACAUCAGCACAGGGCGUGCCAUGAUUGCCCAAUCCACCUUUUAUGAUGUACAGUAUCGGCCAGGUUUUGAUAUGGUGGUAUCGCCUCUAGUCCAUGCAAUGUCCGAACCCAACUUCCUAGAGAUCCCACCCCAGGUGCCAGUAAAGCGAAAGUACCUAUUCAGUUUCCAGGGAGAGAAAAUAGAGUCUCUUCGAUCCAGCUUGCAAGAGGUUCGUUCGUUUGAAGAGGAAAUCGAAGGCAAUGCCCCAGCUGACUAUGAUGAUCGAAUCAUUACCACCUUGAAGGCUGUCCAAGACAGUAAGUUGGACUUUGUCUUGGUGGAAUUCACUUGUAAGAACCAACCUAAGGCAAGUCUGCCCACUGAGUGGGCUCUUUGUGGAGAAAGGGAUGACAGAUUAGACCUACUGAAGCUAUCUACUUUUGCACUGAUAAUCACACCAGGGGACACCCAUCUAUUGAUCUCUGCUGGGUGUACCAUGAGACUCUUUGAGGCUCUGGAAGUUGGAGCCAUCCCAGUGAUUCUUGGAGAGCAAGUUCAGCUGCCCUAUCAUGAUGUGAUCCGGUGGAACGAGGCAGCCUUAAUCAUACCAAAGCCACGUAUCACAGAAGUGCACUUUCUUCUGAGAAGCAUUUCUGACAACGAUCUCCUUACCAUGAGGAGGCAGGGCCGCUUCUUGUGGGAGACCUACUUCUCCACCUCUGACAACGUGUUCAGCACAGUCUUAGCCAUCAUAAGGACUCGAAUUCAAAUCCCGGCUGCUCCUAUUCGAGAAGAAACUGCAGUGGAGAUUCCUCACCGCUCUGGCAAAGCUGCUGGUACUGACCCCAACAUGGCAGACAACGGUGACUUAGAUCUGGGGCCUGUGGAAACAGAACCACCGUACGCAUCUCCCAAAUACCUUCGCAAUUUUACUCUCACAGCAAUGGAUAUCUACAGGAAUUGGAAUUCGGCUCCAGGGCCUUUCCACCUCUUUCCACACACACCCUUUGAUCCCGUUUUACCUUCAGAAGCUAAGUUCCUUGGGUCUGGGACUGGAUUUCGACCAAUUGGAGGAGGAGCAGGUGGUUCUGGGAAAGAGUUCCAAGCUGCCUUGGGUGGCAAUGUCCCAAGGGAGCAGUUCACAGUAGUAAUGUUAACCUAUGAGCGGGAGGAAGUGUUAAUGAACUCCCUAGAGAGACUCAAUGGACUCCCUUACUUAAAUAAAGUUGUAGUAGUGUGGAACUCCCCCAAACUUCCGUCCGAAGACCUCUUGUGGCCAGACAUUGGUGUCCCAAUCAUGGUUGUCCGCACAGAAAAGAACAGUCUGAACAACAGGUUCCUGCCAUGGGAUGAGAUCGAGACAGAGGCCAUUCUGUCUAUCGACGACGAUGCCCACCUUCGCCAUGACGAGAUCAUGUUUGGGUUCCGAGUCUGGAGAGAGGCAAGGGACCGCAUUGUUGGAUUCCCUGGGCGAUACCAUGCGUGGGACAUCCCCCAUCAAUCCUGGCUCUAUAACUCGAACUACUCUUGUGAACUGUCCAUGGUGCUGACUGGUGCUGCCUUCUUUCAUAAGUACUACGCCUACCUGUAUUCUUACGUGAUGCCACAAGCCAUCCGUGACAUGGUAGACGAAUACAUCAACUGUGAGGAUAUUGCCAUGAACUUUCUAGUCUCUCACAUCACAAGGAAACCACCCAUCAAGGUGACCUCGCGCUGGACCUUCCGCUGCCCUGGCUGCCCUCAGGCCCUUUCGCAUGACGACUCGCACUUCCACGAGCGGCACAAGUGCAUCAACUUUUUCGUUAAGGUGUAUGGGUACAUGCCCCUCCUGUACACCCAAUUUCGUGUGGAUUCUGUCCUCUUCAAGACCCGCCUGCCCCAUGACAAGACUAAAUGCUUCAAAUUCAUUUAGGAGGGGGUUACUGAGGGGUCCCUUCAGCACUCUGGACCUGGGCGAGAGGCUGAGGGGUGGCGAUCUUUGCCGGGUUCCAAGCGAGAAAUGCCUCCAGUAUGGGCAGCGAUGCAAAGCAAAAGGAAAAUCAUGGAUUCUAAUCAAUGAUUUUUACCCACCCACCCCGGGGUAACUGCACCGAGUGAAAUGGAACCGGGCCAUAUGACCUGUGUGAAGACACUUGCUAGGAUCAUACACUGAGGAAAUGGAGACUUUGCAUCCAGCAGCCCCAGCCAAGACCAGACCCGCACUGUGCUGGGUGCUGUUCACCCCCACAACAAAAAGCAGGUCCCUGCCCCAGGGAGCUUACAGUCUGAGGAUUCGGCAAGAGGCAGCAGAUGGCUAAGAACAGACAGAUGGGGAAGUGCAAGGAACCAGUGAGGCGAUAUUGGCCAGCACGACAGGCCGUGGGGUUUUUGGACAAACGGAUGCAUUUAAAUACAACGCAGGGCUCCAGGCCUGCACAGAGGAGACUGACUGCACCAAAUGGACAAAAGCACCAGGCGUGACUGACACACAACGUUUGCAUAUAACUGUAUUUACUGCCCAUCUGCACCACACAUCAGUAACUCUUAAACAGAGCCCUGAGUAAGCAGAACCCCCCCCUUUCUAGUACAGGAAUAGCCAUUGUGGGGUUCUAACUAGGGCUCGGUGACGCUGUACUGGCUUCUGGCAGGUGGGCUUGGGCCACUAGCUAGUGCUGUAGGGGCCCGGUUCACUUUUCAAACAUUGCUCGUCAAUAUGUGCAUGAACGUUCCAAUGGAGAACUGCGUGCCCAGGUGGGUAACUAACAGGUCAAUGUAACUGGGUGACAAAGCAGACGAGAUCAGCUCGGUUAACUCUAAAGAGGAGGACCAGUCCAAGGUUAAUCUCCACCCUUGCAAACCACACUGAGGUCUAGAUUCUCUCGACUGGACCCUCUUUAGGGCCGAGGUUGUCUUCCUCCGUGUACGUAAAGUGCACUGCACACUGUUGGUGCUUGGAGUGUAAUAAAUCAAUGGAUCUGAGUCAGUGAGUUCACACUGGGAAUAAGUAAG